rnacentral:rRNA from 1 species
GCGGCAGGCUUAACACAUGCAAGUCGAGCGGGGGAAGGUGAGCUUGCAUCACUGGACCUAGCGGCGGACGGGUGAGUAAUGCUUAGGAAUCUGCCUAUUAGUGGGGGACAACAUCUCGAAAGGGAUGCUAAUACCGCAUACGUCCUACGGGAGAAAGCAGGGGAUCUUCGGACCUUGCGCUAAUAGAUGAGCCUAAGUCGGAUUAGCUAGUUGGUGGGGUAAAGGCCUACCAAGGCGACGAUCUGUAGCGGGUCUGAGAGGAUGAUCCGCCACACUGGGACUGAGACACGGCCCAGACUCCUACGGGAGGCAGCAGUGGGGAAUAUUGGACAAUGGGGGGAACCCUGAUCCAGCCAUGCCGCGUGUGUGAAGAAGGCUUAUGGUUUUAAAGCACUUUAAGCGAGGAGGAGGCUACUCUAGUUAUACCCWGGGAUAGUGGACGUUAUCGCAAAAUAAGCACCGGCUAAUCUUGCACACCGGGGAAAAA